UACGUAGGGGGCUAGCGUUGUCCGGAAUCAUUGGGCGUAAAGCGCGUGUAGGCGGCCUGGUAAGUCCGCUGUGAAAGUCGGGGGCUCAACCCUCGGAUGCCGGUGGAUACUGUCGGGCUCGAGUACGGAAGAGGCGAGUGGAAUUCCUGGUGUAGCGGUGAAAUGCGCAGAUAUCAGGAGGAACACCAGUUGCGAAGGCAGCUCGCUGGGACGUAACUGACGCUGAGACGCGAAAGCGUGGGGAGCAAACAGG
rnacentral:rRNA from 1 species